CACGUAGGCUGUUUGGUAAGUCAGGGGUGAAAUCCCGCGGCUCAACCGCGGAAUUGCCCUUGAUACUGCUGGACUCGAGUCCGGGAGAGGGUGGCGGAAUUCCAGGUGUAGGAGUGAAAUCCGUAGAUAUCUGGAGGAACAUCAGUGGCGAAGGCGGCCACCUGGACCGGUACUGACGCUGAGGCACGAAAGCGUGGGGAGCAAACA
rnacentral:rRNA from 1 species